GUUGUCAUUUGAUUUAGUUCUGAAAACCACAUUACUUAAAAAAUGGUGUAACUGAAAAAAACAAAAUAUAAGGAGUCAAAUUUACUAUUACCCAUAAUAGAAGUUUUAGCAGUUUCAGAGAGCUUCAUGUUAGGUUUCUUUGAAUUCCUGUAACACACUUUCCAAAGAGUUGUAGAAACAGCCCUUUGUUAAGAGAUGUCAUCAAGACAAGGCUUGCUUCUCGGUUGGUCUCACUUACGGUUUGGAAGGGCCGGUCCUCAUCUCUGAUAACCCCGCCUCUCUGUCAAGAAGUCAAUCAUUUAAGGAUAAGUAUUUGAUGUUAAUGUAUAAAGUUCCUCCUUCAGGGAACCUGGAAUAAGGUUUUAGAGUUGUUGUCUGGGAAGUUUCUAUAUUUUCUGCAAUUGUAUCCUUACUAUAUAUGUUUUUGAAAUCUGUGGGAGAAGUUCAAGCCUGGCUGGGCCAGGUGUGCUGCAUUCCUGUCUCCUGAGCUAACUGGAAGACCUUGCUAAGGCUGAGCUAACUUUGCUAAGGCUGAGCUAACUAACCCUCGUGUAUAGAUGCUGGCUCCAACAGGCUACACCUCCGCCCCUAGUCCAUGACUCCUUCGCCUCGCCCAAGAAAAAUCACUCCGCCAUGUCUGGCCAAUAAGAUAUUGACAAACGUCAAAGUUCCUCCCAUGCUCCUCCCCCAUGGUUCCCUAUAUAAGCCUGUGCAUUUCCUGAAUGAAGCAGAAGCUUUCCAGAAACCUUCCCCGAGGCUUCCGGAGGUUCUGGGCCUUGCCCUUGCAGUCCGAACUCCUGAACCUUGUUCCCUGAGUGGGUUCACAGAUGACAGCAGCUGGCACCCAAACGUGGGGCUCACCUAUACUGGAUGGAUCUGAGAAUGCUGUCUGGGCUUGGUGCCAAGGGCUGGUAUUUCACAGCAGCGACCGCCUCACAGACGAGCUGUGGGAAGCAGGAGGGAGACUCUCUCUUAGGGUGCCACUACUAUGGAGACACAGCUGGGCUGAACAAGAUUUGCUUCAAACGACAACAAGAGAGACAGAAAAUAUCUGGUUCAACCGCUGCCCAAGCAGGCAGGCACCAGAAGAGCUAGCAGCCAAUCCGGCCAUGCUCGAAGCCAGCUCUGCAGCUCAGCCAAUCAGUGACAUCACUGAUCUUCAGGAAUUAUACUGGGAUAAUUCCACGAAUUGUAUCCAAGUGGAUCAUAAAAAUGAAAUUGUAAAGGAAAGACUCUGAAACAACAGUAAGUCUUAAUUAUUGGAAAGACAUUUUUUAAAUGUUACACUAACAUAUAUUGGCUUAUAUUCCCCCAUUCUAAUUUUGUAUGCUAGAAUAGGCAGAAUCUGAACAGAACACCUAGACCUCAGAGUACAUUGUCAUGUGAAGCCA
rnacentral:lncRNA from 1 species